CAGCACUUUCUCCUAGCCCUGAAAAGUCCCAAGAUAUCAGACUGUAAAGCUGUCUCAUUUACAUAUAGAAACAGACAGCUUUUUUAAAUCAUCUGGGUGGAGAUGUAACUGCUACACUGCCUCUACACUACCAGAAAAUCUUCCUUCAGUAGGACAAUCCUGAGGCUGGCUUUAGGUCUGCCUUCGGCCUAUGGUGCAAAAUCUAGAUGCCACAUACAUCUAAGCCACUAGAUCAUUACCAAGAAAGAAAAGAGCCACCUGCUGAAACAUCAAUGCUAGUUCCUGUAGCACAAUGGGCUUUCCUUGGAGGUCUCCCAUCCGAGUACUGACAAAGCUUGACUCUGCCAGGCUUGAAAAAUGUGACGAAAUUACAACCCAAGGCAGAGAGACUGCAGGAAACAUACUUGCUCAUUCCACUUGUUUUGCCUAAUAAAGAA